CCUACGGGUGGCAGCAGUGAGGAAUAUUGGUCAAUGGACGCGAGUCUGAACCAGCCAAGUAGCGUGAAGGAUGACUGCCCUACGGGUUGUAAACUUCUUUUAUAAAAGGAUAAAGUGAGGCACGUGUACCUUUUUGUAUGUACUUUAUGAAUAAGGAUCGGCUAACUCCGUGCCAGCAGCCGCGGUAAUACGGAGGAUCCGAGCGUUAUCCGGAUUUAUUGGGUUUAAAGGGAGCGUAGAUGGGUUGUUAAGUCAGUGGUGAAAUGUUGCGGCUCAACCGUAAAAGUGCAAUUGAUACUGGCAGCCUUGAGUACAGUUGAGGUAGGCGGAAUUCGUGGUGUAGCGGUGAAAUGCUUAGAUAUCAUGCAGAACUCCGAUUGCGAAGGCAGCUUACCAAACU
rnacentral:rRNA from 1 species